rnacentral:tRNA from 1 species
CCUUCGAUAGCUCAGUUGGUAGAGCGGUGGACUGUAGCGAGGUUGAGGGUCGAUCAUCUGUUACAAUGGCAUCUCAAAGUGCAUCUGAAUAGAAAUCCAUAGGUCACUGGUUCAAAUCCGGUUCGAAGGA